GAUGAACGCUAGCUACAGGCUUAACACAUGCAAGUCGAGGGGUAACGAGAGGAAAGCUUGCUUUCCCUGUCGACGACCGGCGCACGGGUGAGUAACGCGUAUCCAACCUGCCCCCAACUAAGGAAUAACCUUGCGAAAGUAAGACUAAUACCUUAUAAUUUCCUCAGAUGUCAUCUGACGAGGAAUAAAGAUUUAUCGGUUGUGGAUGGGGAUGCGUCUGAUUAGCUUGUUGGCGGGGUAACGGCCCACCAAGGCAACGAUCAGUAGGGGUUCUGAGAGGAAGGUCCCCCACAUUGGAACUGAGACACGGUCCAAACUCCUACGGGAGGCAGCAGUGAGGAAUAUUGGUCAAUGGGCGAAAGCCUGAACCAGCCAAGUAGCGUGCAGGAUGACGGCCCUAUGGGUUGUAAACUGCUUUUAUACAGGAAUAAAGUUAGCCACGUGUGGUUAUUUGUAGGUACUGUAUGAAUAAGGACCGGCUAAUUCCGUGCCAGCCGCCGCCGUAA
rnacentral:rRNA from 1 species